rnacentral:rRNA from 1 species
UACGGAGGGUGCAGGCGUUAUCCGGAUUCACUGGGUGUAAAGGGCGCGUAGGCGGCCUGAUAAGUCGGGGGUGAAAGCCUGUGGCUCAACCACAGAAUUGCCUUCGAUACUGUCGGGCUUGAGACCGGAAGAGGUAAGUGGAGCUGCGAGUGUAGAGGUGAAAUUCGUAGAUAUUGGGAAGAACACCGGUGGCGAAGGCGGCGGUCUGGUCCAUUUCUGACGCUGAGGAGCGAAAGCAUGGGGAGCGAACAGG